rfam:Virgibacillus sp. LM2416 chromosome, complete genome.
AAAUAAUGAAGGCCGACUAAAACCGCCCUUUGCGGGCAACGUCGGCAUACCCCUUGCCGGGGC